GGGCUUAAAGAGACAACGCCGGGGCUGCUGACACGCAAAGGCCCGCAGCUCCACCUGGCCUCGCGCGCACGCGGGACCCUCGCCCCCCACGCCCGCGCCCUUCCUUUCCCACGCUGGCUCCGCGCAGCUUUGCAAGAGGCUUAAAGAAAACAGGUUCUCUCUCCUCGCUGCGACGACCGUCGAGUCGUUUUGAAGCCAAGAAUGUCGCCCCCGCGCGCAUCUCUUCUGAAGAAAAAUUCACCGGUCUUCCUUAGGUUCCUGCCUGCUUCUCCUUCCGCUUUCAACAACCUUCUUGCUGAAGUGUUUUAAAAGGAGAAAAGCUCUUCAGGCAGACGUCACCAUGUUACCUGGCUGGGGAUAUAAAAGUCUUAAGAGCUUAAAA